GAUGAACGCUGGCGGCGUGCCUAAUACAUGCAAGUCGAGCGAACAGAUGAGGAGCUUGCUCCUCUGACGUUAGCGGCGGACGGGUGAGUAACACGUGGAUAACCUACCUAUAAGACUGGGAUAACUUCGGGAAACCGGAGCUAAUACCGGAUAAUAUAUUGAACCGCAUGGUUCAAUAGUGAAAGACGGUUUUGCUGUCACUUAUAGAUGGAUCCGCGCCGCAUUAGCUAGUUGGUAAGGUAACGGCUUACCAAGGCAACGAUGCGUAGCCGACCUGAGGGGGUGAUCGGCCACACUGGAACUGAGACACGGUCCAGACUCCUACGGGAGGCAGCAGUAGGGAAUCUUCCGCAAUGGGCGAAAGCUUGACGGAGCAACGCCGCGUGAGUGAUGAAGGUCUUCGGAUCGUAAAACUCUGUUAUUAGGGAAGAACAAAUGUGUAAGUAACUAUGCACGUCUUGACGGUACCUGAUCAGAAAGCCACGGCUAACUACGUG
rnacentral:rRNA from 1 species